UAGGCAGUGUUUGGAUUCUUGGGCUUGU
rnacentral:piRNA from 1 species